CAGUAGCCGCGGUAAUACGGAGGGUGCAAGCGUUAAUCGGAAUUACUGGGCGUAAAGCGCACGCAGGCGGUUUGUUAAGUCAGAUGUGAAAUCCCCGAGCUUAACUUGGGAACUGCAUUUGAAACUGGCAAGCUAGAGUCUUGUAGAGGGGGGUAGAAUUCCAGGUGUAGCGGUGAAAUGCGUAGAGAUCUGGAGGAAUACCGGUGGCGAAGGCGGCCCCCUGGACAAAGACUGACGCUCAGGUGCGAGAGCGUGGGGAGCAAACCGGAUUAGAUACCCCUGUAGUCCCUGUCUCUUAUAC
rnacentral:rRNA from 1 species